rnacentral:rRNA from 1 species
AAAUUUUUUAGUUAUUGAAAAUUAAUUAAUGACAUUAUAAAUCUUUAUACACACCUCUUAAAAGUAGAGAUCAUAGUUAUAUAAAUUAAAUAAAGUUAUAAUUAUAUAUGUAUAACAGAGAAUAAUAAUGUGCCAGCAUUAGCGGUUAAACAUUUUCUGUAAGUUAAUUAAAAAAAUGAAGAUUAUAAAAAAUAAUUUAAAAUUAUUGGUAAAAUAUAAUAAUUUUCGAAAAAAAUAAAUUAUUAAAGCUACACUCUAAACUAGGAUUAGAUACCCUAUUAUUGUAGAAUUAGUUAAAUCUUCAACAAAAUUAAAUAACAUGACAGUAUAAAUAUUUACAGAUUAGAGAAAUAUGUGAUAUAAAUGAUAAUCCCCAAAAAUCUUACUUAAUUUAUAAUUUGGUAUACCGCCGUCUUAAUAUUAAAUUUAAAUAUUUAAAGAAUUGAGAAAUUUAGAAUUAUAAUUUUUUUUUAUAAGUCAGGUUAGGUACUGUUAACAAUUAAGAAAAUCAUGUAUUGCAGUCAUUAUACAAAAUUAUUUUGACAUUUUUAAGUUUUUAAAUAAUGAAACUUAUCAAAGUAAUAAGAAUUUAAUAGUAAAUUUUAUUAAAUAUAUAAAAUUGAAUAUAGUAAUAUUUUAUGUACAAAUCGCCCGUCAAUCUAAAUAAUACAUACCUUUAGAUAAGUCGAAACAGAGUAAAUUUACUGGAAAGUGAAUUUACAUAAAUAUUAUAC